rnacentral:rRNA from 1 species
GCGAACGCUGGCGGCAGGCCUAACACAUGCAAGUCGAACGGAUCCUUCGGGAUUAGUGGCGGACGGGUGAGUAACGCGUGGGAACGUGCCCUUUGGUUCGGAACAACUCAGGGAAACUUGAGCUAAUACCGGAUGUGCCCUUCGGGGGAAAGAUUUAUCGCCAUUGGAGCGGCCCGCGUCUGAUUAGCUAGUUGGUGAGGUAACGGCCCACCAAGGCGACGAUCAGUAGCUGGUCUGAGAGGAUGAUCAGCCACGCUGGGACUGAGACACGGCCCGGACUCCUACGGGAGGCAGCAAAGGGGAAUCUUGCGAAAUGGGCGAGAGCCAGACGGAGCCAUGCCGCGUGAAUGAUGAAGGUCUGAGGAUAGUAAAAUUCUUUCAGACGGGACGAUAAUGACGGUACCCGCAGAAGAAGCUCCGGCUAACUUCGUG